AGAAAAAGCUGAUAACAUUUGACAAAAUUCAACAUCCAUUCAUGAUAAAAACUCUUACCAAAGUGGAUAUACAGGAACAUAUCUCAUCAUAAUGAAAGCUGUUUACGACAAACCCACAGCCAAUAUAAUACCCAACAGUGAAAAGCUGAAAGUCUUCCUGCUAACAUCUGGAAUAAGGAUGCCCAUUCUCACCACUUCUACUCAACACGGUAUUGGGAAGUCCUAGCCACAGCAAUCAGACAAGAAA